rnacentral:rRNA from 1 species
UUCCGGGAACAAUAUAUGGCUCUAUACAACAUUGUGCGUCACAAAGGUGAUACUAUCGCCACGGUAAUGGAAUCAUUUCCGCCAAAUAUGAUGUUUAGAAGAGAUUUAGUUGGACCCAGACUCCAAGCGUGGAACAUCCUGCUCCAGCGGUUGUCCACGGUGCAAUUGUCACAUGGGUCUGAUGUAUUCCGAUGGAACCUUUAUGAGAAUUGA